GGACAAGGCAUUCGGUCCGCUCUUAACCGAGUGUGUACCAGAAUGACUCGUUCAUCCUCGGGGAGAGCAUAUCUGGCAUUAAGUUGUCGGGUAUGGGAUCCUCGUCAUUUACUGUGAGCAAAAUAGAGUGUUCAAAGCAGGCUUAGGCCGUUGAAUACAUUAGCAUGGAAUAAUAAGAUAAGACCUUGGUCUAUUUUGUUGGUUUGCGUUCCAAGGUA
rnacentral:rRNA from 1 species